GAUGAACGCUGGCGGCGUGCCUAAUACAUGCAAGUCGAGCGAACAGAUGAGGAGCUUGCUCCUCUUACGUUAGCGGCGGACGGGUGAGUAACACGUGGAUAACCUACCUAUAAGACUGGGAUAACUUCGGGAAACCGGAGCUAAUACCGGAUAAUAUAUUGAACCGCAUGGUUCAAUAGUGAAAGACGGUUUUGCUGUCACUUAUAGAUGGAUCCGCGCCGCAUUAGCUAGUUGGUAAGGUAACGGCUUACCAAGGCAACGAUGCGUAGCCGACCUGAGAGGGUGAUCGGCCACACUGGAACUGAGACACGGUCCAGACUCCUACGGGAGGCAGCAGUAGGGAAUCUUCCGCAAUGGGCGAAAGCCUGACGGAGCAACGCCGCGUGAGUGAUGAAGGUCUUCGGAUCGUAAAACUCUGUUAUUAGGGAAGAACAAAUGUGUAAGUAACUAUGCACGUCUUGACGGUACCUAAUCAGAAAGCCACGGCUAACUACGUG
rnacentral:rRNA from 1 species